rnacentral:snoRNA from 1 species
UGUUUAAAACUAGGGAAGAUCCCCGUGCUCCCCAGGGGCUGUGGGCGACACCAUGGCUGCCCCUAGUCUGGGCCAUUUGGGUCAAUGAGUGCCCAGGGGCUGUGGACG